ACAUAAAAGUGAAUAAGAAACAAUUCAAAUAAUUUCACUUGCAAAAAAAAUUAUUGAUAAUGAUUCCUAAAUUUGAUCGAAGAACCGUUUUAAGCUGUAAAUUUGAUUUGUCGCAGCUUAUUUUGUUGAAUUCGUGGACCAAAACGAACCAAACAAGACACGGAGGUCGCAAGCAUUUGAGUGCACGUCUAGAAUUUUUUCAAUGACAAAAUCCAAUAGAACAAACUUUUCAUCUUGUAAUUUCCAUUCUCUGUCUUCUAAUUUCAUCGUAAUUGGUAGAACCACAAAAAAUGAGGUACAGAUUCAAUGACAGCACAGCCCAAGCCAAUGCUUCUUUCCAUACCAGAAAUUUCCAUCAAACACCCACUUCAAGAAAAGCAAAAAUAUUCUAACUUUACGUGAUCCAGCUAAAAACCAUGAACAAGAAAAGGAAACAACAAACCGAGUUAUCAAGACGAGGUGGAUGAUUUCAUCUUUUCAUGCUUGACCCUCUACCCUCGCACGUGUGAGUCCAACGCAUGCAUCAACGAAAUCGUGGUCGAUGAAAUCCGUGGAAAAUACCUGCAAUCUAUCUGCAUACCCUUUGGAAAAGCACUGACUGAUGAAGAGUCUUGCAAAGCCAUGAAUGCGUUCCGUGACAGGCUUCACACACACAACGGGGUUAUCCGCCACAGGAGUGACGGUGUUCUCCACUCUGUAGAAGUAUUUUCUGGACGUGACAGAUUGCUGUUCGCUGAGAUGCUUCAUGUUGCUAUCAAACUUGGUUGACGGCAUGUCAGUGUUGAUCCAGUUAUCCCUCAGAUACCCUGCACUCCACAGAGGACUUCCUGCUGGAGGCUGUGGCGAUUUGCUUGGCUUCCAAACGCAAAUAACUCUCUUUGGUAACACCUCAGCUAUGGUCUUUUCAAAAACAUUAUCAUCCUGGAGAACUAGGUAAUCCCCCAGUUGUUCCUCAAGGUACUUGUCGAAUUCGGGAGGAUCCUCGUGCCCAAACUCGGUUCUAAUCUGUGCAAAGAUAAGACAUGCAUGUCAGAUACAAAUACAAUCAUAUAACGUUGACGAUGUAUCUGAUACAGAUCAACGAUAGUUCUAACC
rnacentral:sRNA from 1 species